rnacentral:rRNA from 1 species
AUUGAACGCUGGCGGCAGGCCUAACACAUGCAAGUCGAGCGGUAGAGAGAAGCUUGCUUCUCUUGAGGGCGGCGGACGGGUGAGUAAAGCCUAGGAAUCUGCCUGGUAGUGGGGGAUAACGUUCGGAAACGGACGCUAAUACCGCAUACGUCCUACGGGAGAAAGCAGGGGACCUUCGGGCCUUGCGCUAUCAGAUGAGCCUAGGUCGGAUUAGCUAGUUGGUGAGGUAAUGGCUCACCAAGGCGACGAUCCGUAACUGGUCUGAGAGGAUGAUCAGUCACACUGGAACUGAGACACGGUCCAGACUCCUACGGGAGGCAGCAGUGGGGAAUAUUGGACAAUGGGCGAAAGCCUGAUCCAGCCAUGCCGCGUGUGUGAAGAAGGUCUUCGGAUUGUAAAGCACUUUAAGUUGGGAGGAAGGGCAUUAACCUAAUACGUUAGUGUUUUGACGUUACCGACAGAAUAAGCACCGGCUAACUCUGUGCCAGCAGCCGCGGUAAUACAGAGGGUGCAAGCGUUAAUCGGAAUUACUGGGCGUAAAGCGCGCGUAGGUGGUUUGUUAAGUUGGAUGUGAAAUCCCCGGGCUCAACCUGGGAACUGCAUUCAAAACUGACUGACUAGAGUAUGGUAGAGGGUGGUGGAAUUUCCUGUGUAGCGGUGAAAUGCGUAGGUAUAGGAAGGAACACC